rnacentral:rRNA from 1 species
GGAACAUGUGGUGUAAUUCGAUGAUACGCGAGGAACCUUACCUGGGCUUAAAUGUGAAGUGCAUUGAUUGGAGACAAUCAGUUCCUUCGGGACCCGUUACAAGGUGCUGCAUGGUUGUCGUCAGCUCGUGCCGUGAGGUGUCGGGUUAAGUCCCAUAACGAGCGCAACCCCUAUUGUUAGUUACCAGCGCGUAAAGGCGGGGACUCUAGCGAAACUGCCGGUGUAAACCGCGAGGAAGGUGGGGAUGACGUCAAAUCAGCACGGCCAUUAUGUCCAGGGCUACACACGUGUUACAAUGGCCGGUACAGCGGGCAGCUAGGCAGCGAUGUCAUGCUAAUCCCGAAAGCCGGUCCCAGUUCGGAUUGGAGUCUGCAACCCGACUCCAUGAAGGUGGAAUCGCUAGUAAUCGCGCAUCAGCCAUGGCGCGGUGAUACGUUCCCGGGCAUUGUACACACCGCCCGUCAAGCCAUGGAAGUCUGGGGUGCAUGAAGGCCGUAACCGCAAGGAGCGGUCUAGGGUAAACAGAUGACUG